GCUGUGUGAUCCCUCUAAAAAAUCGGCCCACCAGUCAGCGGCUUAUAACGUGCGAGGCUGCAUUCACUCCCUUACUCUCGGCUUCUCUCCCUCUCCGCCUGCGCAAUGUAUUCAUGAAGAAACCGUAAAGUGUUAAAUGUUUGAAAUACAAAACCGCCGAAUUUCACAUGCUGAAAAAGGACUCCGCUACUCGUGCGCGCGGCACUCCUGUGUCUGUGCAAUAGACUCUGCAAAGAAAAACUACUCUCACACGCCUGCAAGUCCGUGGCUGCAAAAGGGACGCUGAAAACCUAAUUUUUCAGUUUCAAGACAAACGCUUAAAAUCAAGCUGGCUCACGUUCUUCCAAACCAACCCAGUUUGACAGCUGCUCUUCACCCCGUUUGGAGGACUGUCAGCAGCAAGAGGAUGGCAUCAGAGCUGGCAAUGAGCAACUCCGACCUGCCCACCAGUCCCCUGGCCAUGGAAUAUGUUAAUGACUUCGAUCUGAUGAAGUUUGAAGUGAAAAAGGAGCCGGUGGAGCCCGAUCGCAACAUCAGCCAGUGCAGUCGCCUUAUCGCCGGGGGAUCCUUGUCUUCCACCCCGAUGAGCACGCCUUGCAGCUCGGUGCCCCCUUCCCCAAGCUUCUCGGCGCCCAGUCCGGGCUCGGGGAGCGAGCAGAAGACACACAUAGAGGAUUUCUACUGGAUGUCCGGUUAUCAACAGCAGUUGAAUCCAGAGGCGCUGGGCUUCAGCCCCGAAGACGCAGUCGAGGCGCUGAUCAACAGCAGUCACCAGCUCCAGUCGUUCGAUGGCUACGCUAGGAGCCAGCAGUUUGCUGGCGCAGCCGGGGCAGGAGGCACCAUGGCCGGGGAAGAGAUGGGGUCUGCCGCGGCGGUGGUGUCGGCAGUUAUCGCUGCGGCAGCCGCUCAGAACGGAGCGCAACACCAUCACCAUCACCACCACCACCACAGCAGCAGCCACCACCAGGCACCUGGCGUCCAGAACAACGGCACUUCUGGGACAAAUCACCCACACAUGCGCUUGGAGGAGCGGUUUUCAGACGAGCAGCUGGUGACCAUGUCCGUGCGGGAGCUCAACCGGCAGCUACGGGGGGUCAGCAAGGAAGAAGUGAUCAGAUUGAAACAGAAGAGGAGGACCCUAAAGAACAGAGGCUACGCUCAGUCCUGCCGGUUCAAGCGGGUCCAGCAGCGGCACGUCCUGGAGGGAGAGAAGACGCAACUCAUCCAGCAGGUCGAGCACCUAAAGCAGGAGAUCUCCAGGCUGGUCCGGGAGAGGGACGCGUACAAAGAAAAGUAUGAGAAGCUCAUCAGCAACGGCUUCAGAGAAAAUGGAUCCAGCAGUGACAACAACCCUUCAUCCCCGGAGUUUUUCAUGUCAUCGAGAAAAUUCCUCCAUCUGUGAUUUCAAGCCCCAUUCCUCCGUGCCCUUGGCUUCCUGAGGGGAAAGCUGUAAAUGAGGAGCAGUAAACAACCUAAUUUUAAUCUCAUCUGGCCUAAACAAAAUGGACAAUAACCUAGCGGCUGAGCAGUGAUGACAUCAGAGCGGCUGACCAAUCGCACGAAGGCACCUACAAAGCACAACAUUCAAAAAUGACUUCACUGAAGAACAAAAGACAAGACCCGCUAAAAUCCCUGAAAAUCCCGACAGUGAAAUUCUUGAAAGCCUCUUACUACUCCUGUUUCCCUCCCUGAUAUUUUACCUCCAGCUUUUUUCUACAAAAUUUAAAAAAAGAAAAAGGAAAAAAAAAAGACUCAUACUCAUGAGAUGGUUGACAACGCAAGACAGUGGAAGGACUAUUUUCUCUUUGGUGGGAAGAUCACUGAUGCAUGCUUCUGUAAAUAGAUCAUAAUAAAAUCCUAUUCUUAUUCCUAAUAUAGGAAGCAUACCAAGUCGUUCUCACCAACUUCAUAAACCUUCAUGACUGUGGAUAGAGUACUCAUGGUUCAAUAUUUUCCAUAUGAAGUCAGAAUUCUUCUUACCUCCUCAGAAACCAUGUAAUUAUCAUUUCCCAUAUCAUUUCUCUCCUCUUUGGAGUUAGUUGGACUGUAAAAAUUGUACUUCCUAUUCUUCUUAUUCUCUUUACAAAAUGGCCUAGUCUUCCACUCCAAUAUCCACACUAGUACAUGUAAAUAGAGAUGAAUGAAGACAACAGCAUGGAAAAGACUAUAGUGUAUAUUUACCACUCCCCUAGUAGAUCACAGGUCUCAGUAUGAGGAUAUUUCAGACAAGCUUUGUAAAAGUUUAAAACACGUGAACUUGUUUUCUGAUAGUUAAAGACAUAGUCCGCGGUAUCUGGACAUUUUCCUAUGUAUUUGAAUAGAUGCAUAAAGGCAGUAGCUAUAAGUAACGUUAUUAUUUGCAAGGAUUAUAAGGCAGCAAUUCUUUUGGUGUCAUCAAUCUGGAAACAAAAUGGUCAAGCUGAAGAGGAAAAGCAGGCAAUUCACCCAAGCCAUGAGUCCACCUUGGCACUUAUAAAAAUCUUAAAUGUUUAAAAUAUUAAUUUUUUAUCAUUAUUUACUAAUUUCUUCCAGUGUCUACCUUAUUCUUUUCCAUUGCAAUAAUUUCCCUCCCCCUCUCCAUGUUUGGGUUGGGACUACUGAAGCUGUCAGUUUUUUUUCUUCUUUGAAUGGUUUUGAAUGGUGCUCUGAUCCUGAGCCUACACAUGGGGGGAAAAGAACACCUCAUUGAUUGCAAUGUAGACAUGAGGACUCUGACCUCUGUCUCCUGUGGACUAUGAAGAUAACCAAAUGGACUGACAGAUAAUAUGCCAAGCCAAUGAACAGACAACCUCAAAAGGUUACCACCACCCCCCUGUCCCACCACUCCACCCCUCACUGGUGAAGACACAAAAAACCAUUGCAUGGACAACAGGGAAAAUACUAGUUUGUUGAACACCUCAUCUCUAUCAUUGUGCAUCCUCUACCUCUCAGUGUGUAUUGUGCAUCGAGGAAUCCAUGACUUUUCAGUGACCCCUCUACUGUCCGCACAGUAGAGGGGUCACACAGAGGAGAGUGUCGCUUAGCGUCGAAUGCUACCGGUGGACGCACAUGGCAAUGGGGAAGACAAAACAAAUACUUGCUCACUUUGACUCAAACACUCACUCAUACAAGCGCAUGCCUGCAGAUGCACAAUCAUGCACAGCGCCACUCGAAUAAGUUGCUGUAUAUAUGUACAGUGUAUCCACUAUGUAUAGUCCCAGAUGCUGUACUUUGCAUGUUGACUUGUAGAUGGAACGUGACCAUUAUUCAUAGAAGAGAUCGUGCAGUUAGGCCUAGUCCGUGGAUUGACUCUCUAAACCAAUGCAAGCUCUUUGUCAACUUUACAUCUCCCUACUUUGUUUUCAGAAAAUGUACACUAACAUGGCUGAAAUAGUUUUACCGCUCCCGAUCCUCUUGUGAAAGGUCCUCGCCAGCCAAACAGCAUUGCUGAUGGGGUUUUAAACUCUUUGAAGGGACACAUAACCUCACGUUUGAUGUCAGACAGAACCUGGCCACAGUGAGAGCGGGUAGGAGAAGAGAAGAUGGAAGGCAAACUGGGGCGCUCCAAUUAAGUGGCAGCGGACAAAGUGGCAUGUGGCAUCCUGCCAGCAACUGUCUAUUCAUCCUAUGUCAAAGGGAUUUUCACAUCUCAAUGAGUCUACGCACUGCCAGAGAAGUCCGAGAGCAGAGCAGAGGAGAGCAGAAAAAGGCUCAGGAGAAGGGAUCGGAGACAAAGAGAGCAGAUUUUCACCCAAAAGUUAAGGUACCGAGCUUAUGUUCAGGUAAUCCCCUGGUCUGUCCUCAUAUAGAAUAUUCUUCUCUUGGAGAGUUCAAUGACCCCUUGACCUCAAACUGUUAAACCAUCAUGCAGCUCUCUGGGCUGCCAUGACCUCACGUCCUGUCUGAGGUUAACUUUGAGUUAAUGAGCAUGGCCCUCAGCUCAACCAGAUGUUCAGCCCUGUGGUUAAAUACCUGUUAGCGCAGUGAUUCUUUAGCGCCUGCCCACUACAGCUGUACUCCUUCUGCACACAGCUACACUAACAACAAGUGAUAAAUUAUGUUCACAGAUGGAAUUUCAACUUCACACUCUGUAUAACAAGGAUGUUUCCUUUUUAACUUAAUAUAAUUAAAGUUGCAUUGAAAUCUAAUCAGCGCACACUAUUUACCAAGGAAAUCUGUCAUUUUACCAGAAUACAAGUGGUUACCUAUUCUGUUGCCCGCUUGUGCAUUCAUAUUAACAAACUGUCUUAAAUCAAAUACUGUCAAAGCACACUGAACCACAUGAGUGUAUUUACAGUCAACAUGUAAACAAACUUGAAAUUAAGACUUAUGACUUACAGGUGAUUAGUUAAAGAAGAUUUAAAAUACAGGAAGGAUGAAGAUGUCACUCAAACAUGAGAUGCUGCAUGUGGUAAGAAACAAGACAUCGAGCAAGUGUUGAUCUUCUCUGAGCCUCAAGGCUUUCCACUUUCUUAGAAGUGAAACAAAGCCCCACUUCUGCGCAGCUGCAGGCAAUCUGUGGCAGGCUGUUUUUUCAUAUGCUCCUGAAUGCAAGUAGUACGGUGAGUGUGCUUUUAUCUGGCAGUGACCCUGACCAGGACUAGGACAUGUACGUAAACAUACACAGAUGUACAUGUUCAUAUACAAAAUGUGUGAAAGUUAACACAGACGCAUAGAGGCACAUCCCUGCUUGCUCUCUCUCACACACACACACACAUAUAUAUAUAUACACACACCAUGCUAAUCUAAACAGCAAGGCUGUAUGUAAACAGAUCGUCGACAUAAUGGGAUUGUUCAGUGUGCAAACAAUAAGCUGUUAGCGUAAUCACAGGUCAAAGAUAUAUUACCCAGAGGGCCACGCUGUAGGUAUAUUAACAUGAUGGAUAUGUGGGAGAGAGGAGGGGGCAGGGAUAUGAAGGAUAUAGAGCUCUACCGAUUCAGAUUUACCCCCUGUUGGGCCCCGUCCGCUGCCUUUCUCUCCUCUACCUCCCUCGUAUUGGCCCCAUUUAAUCAGCCUUCCUCCUUCUCUUCUUGUGCCUUCCUCCAUUUGCCUACCUCUUUCUUAGAUACAAGGUUCCUCCCUUUUUUUUUUUUUUUUUUUAACCAUGUCUCCCCUCUAAUACCACAGUCCUGCCUUUUUCUACCUUCAUUCUUCCCAUCCUCCUUCGAUUUUCCUCUUGUUCUGGAUAGAUAUAAUCUGGUUCAACAAAGUUAUAGACAUAAUCUCGUUCAAAAAAGUUCUGUGGUCAGUGUAGUUGCAGGAUAAAGCAGCUCAAAAAUCUUGUCUCUGGAUUAAGUAAAGAAGGGUUUGAGUGAUAAUGGGCCAUUGAGGUGCUUUAUCCAUGCCUGAUACAUUAACAAGAGGAGGGAAGGAGCAGGGAAGAGAAAAGAAAGACAGCCUUUUGUAGCAUCACUUUCGAGAUAUAGGGGAGACCGGGGAUGGUUGUAACACUUUUAGACUCAGCUCCUAUAACUUGCAGAAUGUUUGCGGUAGGGUACUCAGAUUUUGAUACAAAGUACCCUCAUUUGUCUACUACAAAUAGCAAUGUUUUUAACUUCUCCAACUAUAUCACAGAAUUCAUUAUUUGAUGUCAAAUGCAAGGAGUGCCAUUGUUACAACCUACCCCACUACCAGGGUAUGUUGUAACACAACCUGGGGUAAAUUGUAACAGCAAGAUUGAAGAACUAAAAACUGAGACUACACCACAAAAUAUGCAUCUAUAUAAGUUUAUUGUGCAUGUGCCAACACUAAAGCAUCUUCCUGUGCUUCACUAAGAACAAAAAUAACUCAUCACUGAUGGCUAAAUGAAGAACAGUGUCAGUGUUAACAUUAAAAGAGCUUUUUAAAAGAACAUAUCCUGAUAAUAGCUAUGAAUGUUACACAUACAAAUGGAAACCUUCAGCAGGAGGUCAGAAGUAGCUCAUAAUCCAUGUAAAAUUACAGGAAGACGUUUGACAAUUAGUAAAACAACAAACAUGCA